rnacentral:misc_RNA from 1 species
AAGUCGUAACAAGGUUUCCGUAGGUGAACCUGCGGAAGGAUCAUUAUUGAGAUAGUCAGAAGCCUAUUAGGUCACCCAAACGCUUGAAAAUAUUAGCGGAAUGGGCAGUAAUUACAAAUCGGCAUGACCGUUUGAAUCAAGGGCAGCUAUCCACCCGUGUAUAUAUACUCUGUUAUCUUUCCGGGCGUCAUAACCCCGGAGAAGAACCCAAUCUUGAAUUUUAUGGAACGUCUGAGUACUAUAUAAUAGUUAAAAA